UACGUAGGGUGCAAGCGUUGUCCGGAAUUAUUGGGCGUAAAGAGCUCGUAGGCGGUUUGUCGCGUCUGCUGUGAAAACUCGGGGCUUAACUCCGGGCCUGCAGUGGGUACGGGCAGACUAGAGUGCGGUAUGGGAGACUGGAAUUCCUGGUGUAGCGGUGAAAUGCGCAGAUAUCAGGAGGAACACCGGUGGCGAAGGCGGGUCUCUGGGCCGAUACUGACGCUGAGGAGCGAAAGCGUGGGGAGCAAACGGG
rnacentral:rRNA from 1 species